AUUGAACGCUGGCGGCAGGCCUAACACAUGCAAGUCGAGCGGUAACACAGAGAGCUUGCUUUCGGGUGACGAGCGGCGGACGGGUGAGUAAUGUCUGGGAAACUGCCUGAUGGAGGGGGAUAACUACUGGAAACGGUAGCGUAAUACCGCAUAAUGUCGCAAGACCAAACGAGGGGGACCUUAGGGCCUCUUGCCAUCGGAUGUGCCCAGAUGGGAUUAG
rnacentral:rRNA from 1 species